AUACUUACCUAGCAGGGGAGAUACCAUGAUCACGAAGGUGGUUUUCCCAGGGCGAGGCUUAUCCAUUGCACUCCGGAUGUGCUGACUCCUGAGAUUUCCCCAAAUGUGGGAAACUCAACUGCAUAAUUUGUGGCAGUGGAGCACUGCA
rnacentral:snRNA from 1 species